GAAAACCAUUAAAACUUUCAACAACGGAUCUCUUGGCUCUGGCAUCGAUGAAGAACGCAGCGAAAUGCGAUAAGUAAUGCGAAUUGCAGAUUUCAGUGAAUCAUCGAAUCUUUGAACGCACAUUGCGCCCGCCAGUAUUCUGGCGGGCAUGCCUGUUC
rnacentral:rRNA from 1 species